AUUGAACGCUGGCGGCAGGCUUAACACAUGCAAGUCGAGCGAGCGGCGGACGGGUGAGUAAUGUCUGGGAAACUGCCUGGUGGAGGGGGAUAACUACUGGAAACGGUAGCUAAUACCGCAUACCAUCAGAUGUGCCCAGAUGGGAUUAGCUGGUAGGUGGGGUAAUGGCUCACCUAGGCGGCGAUCCCUAGCUGGUCUGAGAGGAGGACCGCCCACACUGGAACUGAGACGCGGUCCAGACUCCUGCGGGAGGCAGCAGUGGGGAACAUUGCACAAUGGGCGCAAGCCUGAUGCAGCCAGGCCGCGUGUGUUAAGAAGGCCUUCGGGUUGUAAAGCACUUUCAGCGAGGAGGCGUUACUCGCAGAAGAAGCACCGGCUAACUCCGUGCCAGCAGCCGCGGUAAUAC
rnacentral:rRNA from 1 species